AUGUAUAAUCUAUUAAAAAUUGAUUUAUAACAGCUUUUAAAAAAACAGCAUAAAAAUCAUAUUGACACUGAAUUUUAAUCCGUAUAGCUAGAGCCAUAUUUUUUUUAUAUAAUUUCUUGACCAUUGGAUCAACACACUUUAGACAUUUGAGAUUAAAUUUGAUACGUUAAAGUAAUACAUGUAAUGAAUGAACACAAGCGAUUUUAUCUCAACUAUUGCAAGUGUACAAAUCCAAAGAUCUAUAUUUUGUUUCAGAAUUUGUGUAAAAAAUUGAAGUGACAGAACUUUGCCCAUUAUGAAAUACAUAGACCAUUGGCCAGGUGGUAACAAUAUACUCUUCCCUCGUAUUAGGGAAUGAGUUUAAGUUCCCGAAGAUUCAAAAUUUCAACUUGGUAAAUUCUUAAAAGUAUGAGAUAUGUAAGGGCAGGGGUGAACCUCUACCCUUCACAGUUAAGCAUGAUUGUAAGGGAGGGGUUCGAAUUUUCAUGGAUUCAAACUCUCUCAAUUAAGUAUUAUAUAUGAUUGUGUGGAGUUAUUUGUAAGUUUUUCUCUCUCGUGAAAUGCGAGUGGAGUAGAGAAAUCUCUCAUUUAUGAAGGGUAUUUGUCAGGGCAAGUACUUUAUAGAAUUUAAUAAAAUAUUGUAAGUCUCAGUCUGCUGCAAUAGUAAUUAUAAAUAUUUAACAUAAUAUCAAUAGUCUGAUCAGUAUUAAAAAUAUAUAUAUAGAUUUUGGCCCCGGAGCUAAGCUUUAAUUAAUGUAUCUAAGAUUUGGUUUGGGACUAGACCCCUAAUUGUAAUUUGAAAAAAAAGACCAAUAAUUAACUAAUUAGUAUCUUCUGCAUAAGGGUAUGGGCUAUAGCAAUAAUUAAGUUGAAGAACACCAUCAAUUAGGAUCCAUGCACGUGAUUAAGGUGCAAACAUGUCCAUCUUUUUACUAUUCUUAAGUGAUAACUUGCCUGAAAAAUCAACCAUAUUCCAAUCGAACCCCAACAUGCAUCAACUCCAGCAAUGUAUGCAGGAUUCCUCUUCUGUCAAUGCUAACACACACACACAUUAUAUUAAAUUUUAACAGCUCAAGAAUUUGCUUAAUUUGAUUUGAUUAAUCAUUAGCUCAGUGGAGGUUCAAAAUUUCUAGCCACAGGGUCCUACCAUUUAAAGAAAGCAACAAAAGUUUGAAGGGAAAAAAGCAAUAAAUAACAAUUUGCUUUUCUUUUCUUUAUCUUCAUACGCGACAUAAAUGCCUAGUCUAUAAAUAGCUACUAGAGGCAAAAUGCAGACACAGAAGGAAGAUAGCACCACCAUGUAUAAAAGUGUGCCUUCGAGUGACCUAAGUGCUGGGUACGGAGGGGGACUUGAUUUAACAAGGCAAGGAAAUUUACAGCAUUUUGGAAGGCAACAACACAUGAAUUAAUUGAAGGGCAUAUGAAUAUUGCGGGUAAUGGGUCCAAUUAUUCUUCUCUAGUGUUGUGUGUGGCCGUGUGGGUGCUGCACCACCACCUCCCCCUUCACUGAUUGGUUUGCAUAACCUGUCAACUCAAUUCCCCCACCCCCCAAGAAAAAAGAGGGGGGGGGGGGGGGAAGGGGAAUCUACCAACAACACACGCUUCCACACUGUGUGUUUUUGGGCAUGGUACAAAACUACGAAUUAUGCAAUGGUUGAAUAAUACAAUUGUUUUUUCUUUUUUUGUAAGCUUACAUCGACUUUUCUUCGAGUUGUAUAUUGACAAAAAUAAAGAAGGAUAUAUUAGAAAACUUUCAAUUUCACUUUUGUUACUCAAAGUGCCCCAAAAACCAAUCAAUAUACGUGGAUACUUUUUUCACAGUUGCAUUUUAUAAUUGCUGCAAUACUUGCCUUAUAUAAGUAUCCGAAUAAUGACAAUAGUAUUUGCAUGUAUAUGUUGUCAUAGCAAUCGGCUCAUAAUAGUCUUCAUUUUCUUGAUUGAGAAGAUCUUUAACAUCAUCAUGGAGUGAUUCUUGAGAAUCAUUGUGUGAUUCUUAUCUUAUUUUAGAAUAAUCUAAACUUCAUCUUAGGUUUUUCAGAUAAUUCAUGUUUAUACAAAAGUGAUUUCUAAAAAAAAUAAUCAAAUAUUGAAAUUAGUUUUUAACUUUUCAAAAUCACUUUUGAACAUUCCAAAAAUAAUCCUAAACAAACCUUAAGUCUGACUCUCAAAUAAAAAUCACUACUCAUUAAUUAAUAUAUAGUAAAGGACAAUUUGCUAGGUGAAUUAGUAAAUAUUAAUUGUUAAAUAAAAGUAAGUAAUUAUUACAUAGAUAUAUAAUUCAAUGGGAAAAGGACAUUAAACCCCUAACGUUUGAGAAAAGGGAUAUAAAACCCCUUAACGUUUAAAACAAAA
rnacentral:lncRNA from 1 species